rnacentral:misc_RNA from 1 species
AGUGGAGAGAAGAGAGUGCGCAAGCAAGCACACCAUUGAAAGCAAAAGGCAUCACAGAGUUCCAAGGAUUACACACACACACACACACACACACACAGCAACCAAUGAGGGUACUUGUCUGUGGUGGUGUGGGGUACAUUGGUACGCACUUUGUACGCGAGCUGCUGCGUUACAGUCCCCAUGAUGUGAUCAUUGCCGACAGCCUCGAGGCCACUCACGGUUCUGAUGUGCACGUGGACACGGAGAAAAACUAUGCUGCACGAAACCCUGGCGCAAACUUAGAGGAGGUGAAGAGGAGCGGCUACCGUUUCGCAAAGCUGGAGGUGGGCGACGUGCGCGAUGUCAACUUUCUCGAGCACGUCUUCACCACACACGCGCCGAUCGAUGCUGUGGUGCACAUGUGUGCACACAUUGUGGUGCCGGAGAGCGUGCGCGACCCGCUUCGGUACUACGACAACAACGUCGUUGGUAUGCUGCGCAUCUUGCAGACCAUGCUCAAGUACAAGUGCGACAAGCUCAUUCUCUCCAGCACGGCUGCUCUCUUCGGUAACCCUUACGCUCGCAUGAAGGCUGGCUCGACCGAUGAGCCGGACCCGAUGAAACCUAUCCAGUCCAACGCCAAGUGCAUGCCGGAGAGUCCGUAUGGCACGACCAAGCUGGUGGACGAGUACAUGCUGAAGGACUGCGCUGCCGCCUACGGUAUCAAGAGCGUGUGCCUGCGCUACUUCAAUGCGUGCGGCGCCGACGCCGAGGGAGACAUUGGCGAGACCCACGAGCCCGAGUCGCAUCUUAUCCCGCUCAUCCUGCGCGUGCCGCUGGCGGACAAGAUUAACGCCUACAACGCUGUGCACCAUCCGGACCGCCAAAAGGUGAACGACUACAUCUCCAUCUUCGGCACCGACUACCCAACUCCGGACGGCACGUGCAUUCGUGAUUACGUGCACGUGAAGGAUCUGUCCUCGGCCCACGUACGGGCGCUGGACUACCUGGCUAAGCUGACCCCCGACGACAAGGACAAAUUCUUUUCCACGUUCAACCUUGGCACGUCGAAGGGCUACUCAGUGCGCGAGGUCAUCGAGGCGGCGCGGCGCGUAACGGGACACCCGAUUCCGGAAAGGGAGGAGAAGCGCCGCGACGGCGACCCCCCGGUGCUCGUGGCAUCCGGCGAGGAGGCGGCGGCAGCACUUGGAUGGAAUCUGGAGUACAAAUCGAUCGACAAGAUUAUCGACUCCGCUUGGAAGUUUCACAGCAAGCACCCUGUCGGCUAUGAGCUCCACUAAGCUGCACGAAACGCUGAACACACGCCUGCUGGGCUCCAAAGGCAUGCUAAUGCAACAGGGGGGGGGCUAACACGUAUGCACGAACGUUAACAUGCACCCACCCAUGGCUUCGCUCCGCCUCGUCAGCGUUGAAGCUGUCUUGACCCCCGCCCUUUCGAAGAUACGUCACCCUGAAUAUUUCAGGGAGGUCCUUUGUCUCUCUCUUGGAUGUGUUUGUGUAUUUUGCCUAUGUUGGUGCCCUCUCACGGGCUGUCUCUUCGCAUUCGUUCUUCCUUGCAUGUGCCAGCAUCGGUGCGCUGCGUGCCCACGGAUUCGCAUCCGCCGCUCAGUUUGCAGAGCUGCCGAAAAAAUGUGUUUGCCUUUAUUUCUUUCAAAGUGUCCAUUCUACCGUAGAACAUCCGUUAAAGAUCACUCUAUCCGGCCUGCCACAGCCCCCCUCCCUCCCCAUCGCGUGGUGCCACGCAGCCGCAGGCGCGCACGGUACAGCAAUGCGCCGGCGCAUUCAUCGGAGCACGGCCCCUGCGUCACACACCACACCCACCCACACGCGCUCUUCAGGUCGCCUCACAGCCGCGGCCGCUAUGCCGCUCGCCAUUCGAUGCAUCCCCCUCGGGGUGGCACUCGGGCUCCCCCCCUCUCUCCACCUCUGUAGGCAGCGUGAGGGCCAGGCGGGAUGAGCUCGAUUCACGCUGCCAUGCUAUAUGCGCGGUACACACGUGUUCGCUGCCGCAGGUCGCUCCAACGCAACGCCGAUCCACGACCUGACCGCCGGCAUGCCCGUGGCGAUGCACCGCUCUGACCCCCUCACACCGUAGGUGCUUGACCGUGUCGCCACCGGAAGCGCGGCGUUCGGCACUUGACAGGGAUACUGUGGAGGGGGGGCUGCAUGGCUUCCCCACAGAGAGUGAGGGUGCACUGGCCCUUGUGGUGCCACGCACUGAGGGGUGUCGUCCCCGUCAUCCGCGGAGGAGAAAACGAGGGGAAUGGAACAGAAAAAGGACACGACGCUGCUCGGUCCCACACGAAUGUGCGCACGCAACUCAGUGAAUCGAAGCCGGCCGGCGGUGCGCCGGUGUUUUAGUGAUGUGCCUUUUUUCACUUCUCAUUGACAAUGACAGAGGCAAUUGUAGAAGAAGCAAAGAGGCGGAUGAGGAGGAGGGCUUGGCGAAAUCGUGUGCCCGAGUACUUCCACGGCACCCCGCGCAAAUGUGGCCCAUCGUGCAUAGCCAUCUCCCGUGCGCACCCCUCUCUCUCACGACGUUGCCCUCGACCUUCCAUCCACUCUUGUGUUUCUCUUCUCCGUAUUCAAUGCCGCCUCCAUCUACAG